CAAUCAUGUUCAGUCGGGUAGAGAGCUCAAUAUCAGUCUACUAGUAAAGCUAUCGACUAUUUACCUAGGUGAAUAUACUUAGCACACUCGCCAGUUUAUCAUCGACGCUUAGACAGUGGCAUGCAACAUGGACGUCCCUCUCUGGAAUGUAUUUAUCGAAAGAAAAGAAUUUCUCUAACAUUCCAUCAUAGAUCUUGACUAUACAUGGUUUGCUCUGGAACACAAAUGUAGAUAUGUCCUCCUUCACAGACUGAGCCAAGGCAU